rnacentral:tRNA from 1 species
GCCGAGGUGGUGAAACUGGCAGACACGCGGGCCUUAAGAGCCCGUGAAGGUAAAACUUCGUGCGGGUUCGACCCCCGCCCUCGGCA